GAGAGGGUGACCGGCCACACUGGGACUGAGACACGGCCCAGACUCCUACGGGAGGCAGCAGUGGGGAAUAUUGCACAAUGGGCGGAAGCCUGAUGCAGCAACGCCGCGUGAGGGAUGACGGCCUUCGGGUUGUAAACCUCUUUUAGCAGGGAAGAAGCGAAAGUGACGGUACCUGCAGAAAAAGCACCGGCUAACUACGUGCCAGCAGCCGCGGUAAUACGUAGGGUGCAAGCGUUAUCCGGAAUUAUUGGGCGUAAAGAGCUCGUAGGCGGUUUGUCGCGUCUGCUGUGAAAUCCCGAGGCUCAACCUCGGGCCUGCAGUGGGUACGGGCAGACUAGAGUGCGGUAGGGGAGAUUGGAAUUCCUGGUGUAGCGGUGGAAUGCGCAGAUAUCAGGAGGAACACCGAUGGCGAAGGCAGAUCUCUGGGCCGUAACUGACGCUGAGGAGCGAAAGGGUGGGGAGCAAACAGGCUUAGAUACCCUGGUAGUCCACCCCGUAAACGUUGGGAACUAGUUGUGGGGUCCUUUCCACGGAUUCCGUGACGCAGCUAACGCAUUAAGUUCCCCGCCUGGGGAGUACGGCCGCAAGGCUAAAACUCAAAGGAAUUGACGGGGACCCGCACAAGCGGCGGAGCAUGCGGAUUAAUUCGAUGCAACGCGAAGAACCUUACCAAGGCUUGACAUACACGAGAACGGGCCAGAAAUGGUCAACUCUUUGGACACUCGUGAACAGGUGGUGCAUGG
rnacentral:rRNA from 1 species